GUCGGUUAAAUGCAAAGAGCAGCUUGCAGCCUUAAAGUCUUUUUUCCAUCCAAAUGUUUCAGUGCUGUUUCUAUGAAGCCAGACAGCUUGCUAUUGCUAUAGGUAUUAUGCCUUAGCAUAAAAGUCUUUAUUUCCAUCCAAAUAUUUUCAGUGCGGUUUCUAUAAGGGCAGCGUGUUAUUGCUAUAUGCCUUAGCCUAAAAGUCUUUUCUUUUUUAAUUUUUUUCAUCCAAACACUUUCAGUGCUGUUUCUAUAAAGGACAGCUUGCUAUUGCUAUAUGCCUUGGCAUAAAAGUCUUUUUUUCUGUCCAAAUAUUUUCAGUGCUGUUUCUAUAAAGGACAGCUUGCUAUUGCUAUAUGCCCUAGCCUAAUAGUCCUUUUUUCCAUCCAACUAUUUUCAGGCUAUAAAGGGCGGCUACUGCU
rnacentral:lncRNA from 1 species